rnacentral:rRNA from 1 species
AAGCCGUGAAAUGCGUAGAGAUAUGGCAGAAACACCAGUGGCGAAGGCGACUUUUCUGGUCUGUAACUGACACUGAGGCGCGAAAAGCGUGGGGAGCAAACAGGGAUUAGAUACCCUGGUAGUCCACGCCGUAAACGAUGAGUGCUAAGUGUUAGAGGGUUUCCGCCCUUUAGUGCUGAAGUUAACGCAUUAAGCACUCCGCCUGGGGAGUACGGCCGCAAGGCUGAAACUCAAAGGAAUUGACGGGGGCCCGCACAAGCGGUGGAGCAUGUGGUUUAAUUUGAAGCAACGCGAAGAACCUUACCAGGUCUUGACAUCCUCUGAAAACCCUAGAGAUAGGGCUUCUCCUUCGGGAGCAGAGUGACAGGUGGUGCAUGGUUGUCGUCAGCUCGUGUCGUGAGAUGUUGGGUUAAGUCCCGCAACGAGCGCAACCCUUGAUCUUAGUUGCCAUCAUUAAGUUGGGCACUCUAAGGUGACUGCCGGUGACAAACCGGAGGAAGGUGGGGAUGACGUCAAAUCAUCAUGCCCCUUAUGACCUGGGCUACACACGUGCUACAAUGGACGGUACAAAGAGCUGCAAGACCGCGAGGUGGAGCUAAUCUCAUAAAACCGUUCUCAGUUCGGAUUGUAGGCUGCAACUCGCCUACAUGAAGCUGGAAUCGCUAGUAAUCGCGGAUCAGCAUGCCGCGGUGAAUACGUUCCCGGGCCUUGUACACACCGCCCGUCACACCACGAGAGUUUGUAACACCCGAAGUCGGUGGGGUAACCUUUUUGGAGCCAGCCGCCUAAGUGACAGAAUUUGGG